GGGAGUAGAUGGGUGCUGGUGUGCCCCCCGGUCUUCAAAACCGGUGAUAGGGGUUAGUAGCUUCUUAGGUGGGUUCGAUUCCCACAUACCCUCGCCA
rnacentral:tRNA from 1 species